AGGGAAUCUUCCGCAAUGGACGAAAGUCUGACGGAGCAACGCCGCGUGAGUGAUGAAGGUCUUCGGAUCGUAAAACUCUGUUGUUAGAGAAGAACAAGUACCGUUCGAAUAGGGCGGUACCUUGACGGUACCUAACCAGAAAGCCACGGCUAACUACGUGCCAGCAGCCGCGGUAAUACGUAGGUGGCAAGCGUUGUCCGGAAUUAUUGGGCGUAAAGCGCGCGCAGGCGGUUUCUUAAGUCUGAUGUGAAAGCCCACGGCUCAACCGUGGAGGGGCAUUGGAAACUGGGAGACUUGAGUGCAGAAGAGGAGAGUGGAAUUCCACGUGUAGCGGUGAAAUGCGUAGAGAUGUGGAGGAACACCAGUGGCGAAGGCGACUCUCUGGUCUGUAACUGACGCUGAGGCGCGAAAGCGUGGGGAGCGAAC
rnacentral:rRNA from 1 species